ensembl:lncRNA
ACCCUAUAGGGCCGUACCCCAUCCUGCACCCUAUAACCUGAACCGGGCACCCUAUAUCCUAUAUCCUAUGCCCUAUAUCCUAUAUCCUGCACCCUAUAACCUGAACCGGGCACCCUAUAUCCUAUAUCUUAUGCCCUAUAUCCUAUAUCCUGCACCCUACAUCCUAUGUCCUGCACCCUAUAACCUGAACCGGGCGCCUUAUAUCCUAUAUCCUGCACCCUGUAUCCUAUAUCCUGUAUCCUAUAUCCUGCAUCCUAUAUCCUAUAUCCUGUAUCCUAUAUCAUAUAUCCUACAUCAUAUAUCCUACAUCAUAUAACCUGCAUCAUAUAUCCCACAUCCCAUAUCCUAUAUCCUGCAUCCCAUAUCCUGCAUCCUAUAUCCUGCAUCCCAUAUCCUGCAUCCCAUAUCCUGCAUCCUAUAUCCUGCAUCCUAUAACCUGCAUCCCAUAUCUUAUGCCCUAUAUCCUAUAUCCUGCACCCUAUAUCCUGUAUCCUAUAUCCUAUACCCUAUAUCCUAUAUCUUAUGCCCUAUAUCCUAUAUUCUGCACCCUAUAUCCUAUAUCCUGUAUCCUAUAUCCUACAUCCUAUACCCUAUAUCCUGCAUCCUAUAUCCUAUACCCUAUAUCCUAUAUCCUGCAUCCUAUAUCCUAUAUCUUAUGCCCUAUAUCCUAUAUCUUGCACCCUAUAUCCUAUAUCCUGUAUCCUAUAUCCUACGUCCUAUAUCCUGCAUCCUAUACCCUAUAUCCUGCACCCUAUAUCCUAUAUCUUAUGCCCUAUAUCCUAUAUCCUGCACCCUACAUCCUAUAUCCUGCACCCUAUAUCCUAUAUCCUGUAUCCUAUAUCCUAUACCCUAUAUCCUAUAUCUUAUGCCCUAUAUCCUAUAUCCUGCACCCUAUAUCCUGUAUCUUAUAUUCUACGUCCUAUACCCUAUAUUCUAUACCCUAUAUCCUAUAUCUUACGCCCUAUAUCCUAUAUCCUACAUCCUAUACCCUAUAUCCUAUACCCUAUAUCCUAUAUCUUAUGCCCUAUAUCCUAUAUCCUAUACCCUAUAUCCUAUACCCUGUAUCCUAUACCCUAUAUCCCAUAUCCUAUACCCUAUACCUUAUAUCCUAUACCCUAUAUCCUAUACCCUAUACAUUAUAUCCUAUACCCUAUAUCCUAUAUCUUACGCCCUAUAUCCUAUAUCCUAUACCCUAUAUCCUAUAUCCUAUACCCUAUAUCCUAUACCCUAUACCCUAUAUCCUAUACCCUAUAUCCUAUAUCCUAUACCCUAUACCCUAUAUCCUAUACCCUAUAUCCUAUACCCUAUAUCCUAUAUCCUAUACCCUAUAUCCUAUACCCUGUAUCCUAUUCCCUAUAUCCUAUAUCCUAUAUCUUACGCCCUAUAUCCUAUACCCUACAUCCUAUAUCUUGCACCCUAUAUCCUAUAUCCUGUAUCCUAUAUCCUGUAUCCUAUAUCUUAUGUCCUAUAUCCUAUAUCCUGCAUCCUAUAUCCUAUACCCUAUAUCCUAUAUCUUAUGCCCUAUAUCCUAUAUCCUGCACCCUAUAUCCUGUAUCCUAUAUCCUACGUCCUAUACCCUAUAUCCUGUAUCCUAUAUCCUACGUCCUAUACCCUAUAUCCUGAAUCCUAUAUCCUAUACCCUAUACCCUAUAUCUUACGCCCUAUAUCCUAUACCCUAUAUUCUUACAUCCUAUUCCUUAACCCGUAUUACCAUUAUAUUUACGCCC